rnacentral:rRNA from 1 species
UCAUGGGCGAGAGCCUGAACCAGCCAAGUAGCGUGAAGGAUGACUGCCCUAUGGGUUGUAAACUUCUUUUAUAAAGGAAUAAAGUCGGGUAUGGAUACCCGUUUGCAUGUACUUUAUGAAUAAGGAUCGGCUAACUCCGUGCCAGCAGCCGCGGUAAUACGGAGGAUCCGAGCGUUAUCCGGAUUUAUUGGGUUUAAAGGGAGCGUAGAUGGAUGUUUAAGUCAGUUGUGAAAGUUUGCGGCUCAACCGUAAAAUUGCAGUUGAUACUGGAUAUCUUGAGUGCAGUUGAGGCAGGCGGAAUUCGUGGUGUAGCGGUGAAAUGCUUAGAUAUCACGAAGAACUCCGAUUGCGAAGGCAGCCUGCUAAGCUGCAACUGACAUUGAGGCUCGAAAGUGUGGGUAUCAAACAGGAUUAGAUACCCUGGUAGUCCAAGGGCGAAUUC